rnacentral:rRNA from 1 species
UACGAAGGGGGGCUAGCGUUGCUCGGAAUCACUGGGCGUAAAGGGUGCGUAGGCGGGUCUUUAAGUCAGGGGUGAAAUCCUGGAGCUCAACUCCAGAACUGCCUUUGAUACUGAAGAUCUUGAGUUCGGGAGAGGUGAGUGGAACUGCGAGUGUAGAGGUGAAAUUCGUAGAUAUUCGCAAGAACACCAGUGGCGAAGGCGGCUCACUGGCCCGAUACUGACGCUGAGGCACGAAAGCGUGGGGAGCAAACAGGAUAGAAACCCCGA